UACGGGGGAGGCAAGCGUUGUUCGGAAUUACUGGGCGUAAAGGGCGCGUAGGCGGUUCGGCAAGUCGGGUGUGAAAUCCCUGGGCUUAACCUGGGAACUGCAGUCGAUACUGGCGGACUAGAGUACGGUAGAGGGUGGCGGAACUCCGGGUGUAGCGGUGAAAUGCGUAGAUAUCCGGAAGAACACCGAUGGUGAAGGCAACCACCUGGGCCUGUACUGACGCUGAGGUACGAAAGCGUGGGGAGCAAACAGG
rnacentral:rRNA from 1 species